rnacentral:tRNA from 1 species
GCCUGGCUAGCUCAGUUGGUAGAGUAUGAGACUUUUAAUCUUAGGGUCAUGGGUUCAAGCCCCAUGCUGGGUA